UAUAUAAUCAUGACAUUGGACCAAAUUAGUGGAAACUCUACUUAAGAAAAAUCUUAAGUGUGUUUUGGUCCGGAAAUGAAGUGAAUUUAAUCCAUUAUAAACAUUUUCUCAAGGAAAUAAUCAACUUUUCUUCCUUAAAGGAUAAUUUUGCCAAAAAGUGGAGUUUUAUGAUUAGCAUGACAGUUUUAGCAAUAAAGUAAAUAUUUUUAGCAAAUAAUCGCAUUAAUCACACAUUGAAGCUCAUAGGUCAACCGUAUUCUAUGAAUUCUUAAUACUAGGGUGCUUAAAACCUUUCCUAGGGGACCAUCAGAACUCUUACCUCGAACUUUGGUCAAAAAGAAUUUUUCUCUUGUUUGAUAAACCCUUUUAAACCCGGGUUUUUUUAGUUUUCCUUAAAUAAAUUAGGUGGCGACUCUAAAAUACUAAAAUCCAUUUAGAGAACCAACAACAUCUUAGUAGCUUCUAUGCGUCCGCGCAAAAGUGAACCAUAACAGUGAUAUAGUGUAGGUAAGAUUUCACUGCUCUCAAUGGAUUGGGAACAUAGCAAGCUGCUUUUAUGUUAAUCACACACUAAAUGACGUGAAUUAAUUGUUGAUGAUGACUAGUAUUAGCAGAUAUAGUUCUUUCCCUUAAUGAGGCAACACAAAAAGAUAAAAAAAAAAAUUAGAACUUAAGUGGACUAGUUUUUGUUAUGAUAUGUAGAAAAUAUUUCAUUUAUCUGGCCCCGGAGGUUAGCUCAAUUGUCAAAGGUUGAGGGUAUUGUAUCAUAGGUCAUAGGUUCAAGUCCUGCGCCAAGUGAACUAACUCUGGCAUUUAAGGGGAAGAAGGGCAGAGACGGUCCCAUUAUCCCCAAGAAUAAAAAAUGUUUACCAAAAUAUUACAUUUAUUUCAGUGAAGAAAAGUUGGCUUGGCGAUUGUUGCAUAUGUGUCUUACUGUGAGGAGUUAGUUUUGCUCCACCUUCCGUCCUCAAGGUUUAGUUUUGCUUAUUUAAGAUGGGUGAUAAUUAUAACUGAUAUUUAGUCUCCACGGAAGUUGAUCGACUAAUGUUAGCGAACAAUCUCAAUAUGUUGUAUGUGAAUGGAAUUAUCUUGGUAUUUUUAAUUCACUGCUUAAGCAGGCAUGUGCAUAUUUAAUGUAACACAAGGCCGGGAUAAAAGGAGUCAAUCAUUAAAUCAUAAUGCAUAAUAUCUAAAUGUGUGCAAUGUAGGUUGCUUAUUCAUUUAACUGUUCUAGUGUCGUGUGAUAAGGUUCAUUUUACCAUAGUGAUGACUGAAGGACGAAUUUAUUUCUGAAAUUGAUUGUUUCUUUCGUUUGGUUCAUAAGACAGAGAUGUAAGAAGUUAAUUCCUAUUGUGUUUUAUCUACUUACAAAAAGGAAGAGCUCGGGUAUAAACAUUUAAAUAAAUCGCAUUUACUAAUGACACUUUGAUUAUAAAGUGUGUAAUCCUGUAUAAGUGUUGAAAUUUAGACAAGCUCCUUAAGUUGAGAUACAGUGUUUUCUAUGCAACUGUUUAGAGUAAUGUGAAAGUCUGUUGUCUUUGUUGUGUUGUUAUUCCAAAUUUGAAUAUGCCAGCUUCAGAAUUUAGGAUUUCGCGAGCAUUUCACUUAAAUGAAGGGAUUGGGCAUAUAAUUGAGUAUUUGUUUCCCUCCCUUUCCUGCCAGGAUUGGAAAUCAUAUAUUUUACAUAUCCAUACGAUUGAGUCCUUUAGUUUCCGAAAUAGUGUAAAAAGAAGUGUUCGAAUCAUUGCUAUUUGACUUGGACCUGUUCUAAAAAAGUCGAGGUAUUUCGAAUUGUUUGUUGACACGGACAAAGUCAGGAAAUUCUUGCUCCCAUUGGACCAUUUGUAUCUAUAUGCAUCAGGAUCCCGAUUCAUGUACUAUCUUUCUUUCGAAUACUGAUUACUAAGAAUUUGAACAAAAAGUGGAUACGGUUGUCGAAAUGCAAGCACUGUGUAGUCUAUUUGUCCAUUUUUCUGUCUUAGAGCUAACGUUCGUUCACUAAAUUAAAAAUGGUUCUGGUGAACAUUAGCCAUUUCCUAGUUCUCGGUCCCUGCUCACUAGAUGGACAGAACAUUAGAAAUAAUAGACUAUCUUCAAUGCUCUUGUUAUGGAUUCACCCCUCGAAUUGAAGGGCUAAAAGCUGAGCGGUGCAUGGAGAGCAAAGAACCUUAGGGACCGAGAGGAUAGUAAGUUGAAAGAUAUGGUGUGGACGAGGUAUGAGGAUCUGGGAAGCUAACAGAGAAGGAGUAGGAGAAUUCUAUUCUCAGAAGGAAGUCUAGUUUUGCUUACUGAAGAUCAUGAGUGACUUUGUCAUGGAAUCCAACUAAGAAAAGAUUAUCUUAUUCAUCAUUUAUGCUCUAAAAUAUUACAAGCAACAGAAAGCAUGGUGUCCAAGCACAAAAGUAGACACCGGGUAAAAUAUUAGAAGAGUAAAAUAUCAUCUAAUUGUCACUCAGACCACUGGGCAAAAGAAAAUAAUACUAGAAAAAAGGGUCUGUGCACUCAGAUUUUUUUCCCCGGGGGAUGUGGGGGGGAUGCAAAAUAGUUACUACAAAAGUCCAGAAGAAAAAAGAUAUGUUGGGUCCCCCAUCUGUCCCGGGUACCUAUGUCGGUGGGAGGUAGAAAGUAUCCCGUGGAAUUAGUCGAGGUUCGUAAAAGCUGGCCCAACCACAACAGCUAAAAAGAAAGAUGUUAUUCCCAUUACCGAUGUUCGGAUUAAGACUAGAGACCUAAUAGAGUUCAAAACAUCUUAGCUUUGAGGAUUGAUUAGUAGCUGGUAGUCCAUGAAAAUAUCUUUUGUUCCUUUCAUUCCAGAUACUCCAAAACAAUAGCAGCAGAUAUCAUCUUCUUAAUGGUGCUAUCAACUUUCCAUUUUGUCUCAGUCUAAUUGUGCACAAGCUUAAUAGUAGAGCAUGAAAAUAUUGAGAAAAUUAAGUCCUUGUAGAAAUUGUUAAAAGCAAAUGAAAGUGAUACAUUCAGUUGAAAGGUUUCUGCUUAACCUUUCUAAAAAAUAAACAACAUUUUAUAGCACAAGGAUUUAGAGGGAAUAUCGUGAAGCUUUUAAUGAUUAAUGGUUUCACUUCCAAUCAUAAGAAGGGUAUGGAAAUAAAAGGGGAAAACAAAAAGGGUAGGCAUUGUUAUUCUCAAACUUGAAGAUAGGAUCUUGCAUCCGUUGCAAUCCCUUUGGUGUUGCUUGCUUUCUCUUCUUCUUUCAGGUUUUGUGAUGUGUGAUGUCUGCAUAUGGAGCUUUGUGUCUCUUUCCUACUCCAUUCACAGUUUCACACUUGCCUAAGUAAACUGCAUUUGAAGUGGUUGUCAUUUGCAGAUGAAAUAUACACACGUUUAAUUGCAAAAUUUUAUAUUUAGCUGUGAAAAGUCAUUUUUCGAGUCUCAAUUCCUCUUCCAAAGGGAAGAUAGUAUAGCACGAUAAUUGAUAGUAUAGCAGGAUAAUUGCAUAAGAUAUCAAUUUGUUUUCUGUUAUCCUUUCGUUAAGCUUUCCUGAUUAAUGACGAACACCUUCUCUUAUUGCCAAUUUCCUGUGUAUGACCAUUCAAAACUGCUAUCAUUUGUAAUGAGGCUUUCCUAUGUAACUAUUUUGCAACAGUUUGCUGCUCUUUUAUACAAUACUUAUACCAAUAAAAAAAACUGCCUUCUUUUGUAAUAUUAAUGUCCUUAACUGCUAUGCUUGCUGGGUUUUAUAGAGGAGGAUGUUCCAGUAGAGUUUUCUUCACCAACUAUCUCGACUUGGCAGGGAGAUUGCUACGACCACUAUUUUCUUCCACCUUCCUGUGGGGACUACACACCUUUAAGAAUAAUGCACUUGAUGUAGACUUUUGGCAAGGUUUAGAGAAUAAAAUCAUUGCUAGUUUGCUACACUUUUUCUCUCUUGUUCUUUUUCGGACUAAUGGUUAAUUUGACAAAUUAGUUUCAAAGGAUGCAUGUGGUGUACCAGGAAUGCGUGAAUGCCAUAACGAUUCUUGGUUUGACAACGCCAAAUCUGGUCAGUGAAGCGAUGAUGACGGCGGUGGAGGUGAUGGAGUCGAUCUGGGACUCGAAUUUUCCGGCGGUUUCACCAACAAAGGUAGUGAGCCUUACGAUGACGAGAAAAAAGCGAGAAAGAGGAAAGCAUAUGAUAUUGUUCGUGGUGGGAGCUUAUCAGACUUUGAAUUUCGCCGAAGUGGCUCGAGCAGGCUUGGAGAAGGAGAUGGUCAGAUCUGGAGAAAUGAGGGAGAAUAAGGAGGAUUUGUUCUCGAUGUAUUUUCUUUAAAUAUAUAGUAUAGUUACGGAAGGUGAUUAGAAACAUAGUAUAGCUACAGUAGGUAAUUAAUUUAAAAUAUAGUUAUGGUAGGUAAAUACCUCUUAGAUGUUAUCUACAACAUGUAAAAUUAACCUAUUUACCAAAUAUAGUAAGGUUUUACAUUUUAUAACAGAUUGGGAAAAAGGUGUGCUUGUGUGCGUAAAACUUCUUUCUUUCUUCCAGCAAUUUAACACAAACUUGAUUGAAAUAAAUCUCAAUCCAGAAUAUCCAAAUUUUGAUGGUCUGUCAAUAGUGUGGCUUUGAAUUUCUUCAAAUUUCAGCUUCUAGAAACUCUAAUGUCAGCCAUUAAAGGACCUCAAAGCUCAAGUUCGAAAAAUGAAUUUGCCUCAAACGAACUUCGUUUGGAGUGUGUGAUAUCUCAAAAGAAUAGGAACGUCAAGGAGAGUUUGAAUCUAGCAUUUGGGACUAUUUGGGUAAGAUUUGAGCUAGUUUAGCCCUAAAUUUUAGUCAUAGUUUGUUGAAGUCCGAAGUUACAGUUGAAUUGUAUCAAAUUUGUAUUAAACUUUUAUUCUAAUUAUAUGAAAAUUGUAUUAUAAGUUUGUAAAA